CCUACGGGAGGCAGCAGUAAGGAAUAUUGGACAAUGCUCGCAAGAGUGAUCCAGCCAUGCCGCGUGCAGGAAGAAUGCCCUAUGGGUAGUAAACUGCUUUUGAACUAGAGAAAACCCCAGUACGUGUACUGGGCUGAUAGUAUAGUUAGAAUAAGCAUCGGCUAACUUCGUGCCAGCAGCCGCGGUAAGACGAAGGAUGCAAGCGUUAUCCGGAUUCAUUGGGUUUAAAGGGAGCGUAGGUGGACUUAUAAGUCAGUGGUGAAAUCUCCGAGCUUAACUCGGAAAUUGCCAUUGAUACUGUAGGUCUUGAGUACAGUUGCUGUGGGCGGAAUAUGACAUGUAGUGGUGAAAUACAUAGAGAUGUCAUAGAACACCGAUUGCGAAGGCAGCUCACAAAGCUGUAACUGACACUGAGGCUCGAAAGUGCGGGGAUCAAACAGGAUUAGAUACCCUGGUAGUCCGCACCGUAAACGAUGAUUACUCGCUGCUAGGGGGCAACCUUUAGUGGCUUAGCGAAAGCGAUAAGUAAUCCACCUGGGGAGGACGCCGGCGACGGUACGAAACGUUAAAGGUAAAGUUAGUACGGACGUUGAGACGNGGCCGACGGACGACGACGACGGGAGGUAGG
rnacentral:rRNA from 1 species